rnacentral:rRNA from 1 species
GAUGAACGCUGGCGGCGUGCCUAAUACAUGCAAGUCGAGCGAACCACUUCGGUGGUGAGCGGCGAACGGGUGAGUAACACGUAGGUUAUCUGCCCAUCAGACGGGGACAACGAUUGGAAACGAUCGCUAAUACCGGAUAGGACGAAAGUUUAAAGGUGCUUCGGCACCACUGAUGGAUCAGCCUGCGGCGCAUUAGCUAGUUGGUAGGGUAAAGGCCUACCAAGGCGCGGAGGCGUAGCCGACCUGAGAGGGUGAACGGCCACACUGGGACUGAGACACGGCCCAGACUCCUACGGGAGGCAGCAGUAGGGAAUCUUCGGCAAUGGGCGAAAGCCUGACCGAGCAACGCCGCGUGAAUGAUGAAGGCCUUCGGGUUGUAAAAUUCUGUUAUAAGGGAAGAAUGGCUCUAGUAGAAAUGGCUAGAGUGUGACGGUACCUUAUGAAAAAGCCACGGCUAACUACGUGCCAGCAGCCGCCGUAAAAC